UACGUAGGGUGCGAGCGUUAAUCGGAAUUACUGGGCGUAAAGCGUGCGCAGGCGGUGAUGUAAGACAGGUGUGAAAUCCCCGGGCUUAACCUGGGAACUGCAUUUGUGACUGCAUCGCUGGAGUGCGGCAGAGGGGGAUGGAAUUCCGCGUGUAGCAGUGAAAUGCGUAGAUAUGCGGAGGAACACCGAUGGCGAAGGCAAUCCCCUGGGCCUGCACUGACGCUGAGGCACGAAAGCGUGGGGAGCAAACAGG
rnacentral:rRNA from 1 species